CACUCCUUUUCGUUUGCUAAUA
rnacentral:miRNA from 1 species